rnacentral:tRNA from 1 species
UCCCUGGUGGUCCAAGGUUAAGACACCAAACUUCCAAUGCAGGGGACCCAGGUUUGAUUCCUGGUUGGGGAA